UAGUGAAACACCAGUUCUCAUACGAUCACCGAAGUUAAGUAAAGUUGAGUCUGGUCAAUACCUAGAUGGGUGAUUGCUUGGGAAUAUCAGAUGC